rnacentral:rRNA from 1 species
AACGAACGCUGGCGGCAGGCCUAACACAUGCAAGUCGAGCGAGAUCUUCGGGUCUAGCGGCGGACGGGUGAGUAACGCGUGGGAAUAUGCCCUUCUCUGCGGAAUAGCCUCGGGAAACUGAGCGUAAUACCGCAUACGCCCUUUGGGGGAAAGAUUUAUCGGAGAAGGAUUAGCCCGCGUUGGAUUAGGUAGUUGGUGGGGUAACGGCCUACCAAGCCGACGAUCCAUAGCUGGUUUGAGAGGAUGAUCAGCCACACUGGGACUGAGACACGGCCCAGACUCCUACGGGAAGCAGCAGUGGGGAAUCUUAGACAAUGGGGGCAACCCUGAUCUAGCCAUGCCGCGUGAGUGAUGAAGGCCUUAGGGUUGUAAAGCUCUUUCAGCUGGGAAGAUAAUGACGGUACCAGCAGAAGAGGCCCCGGCUAACUCCGUG